CGGGAAGGAGGGGUGUGGCCUAGACCACUAAGGGCCGUGACGUGGUGCCGCUGAGCUUGGACCCCGACCAGAAGAUAGAGAUUGAAACGAUGAGGAAAACGAAGUGCCUAAUCCCCGCUGGACGCUAACUGCAGGCACCCAGAAAUACUCUCCACACCAUGCUGCACUGCUGCGGAUGAGGGAAGGAUGGUGUCGGGGCUUCAAGACUGUUUUUCCUACCUCUUCAGUGCCUCUUUCAGUGAUAUGAAGUUAAAACCAGGUACUAUGAGUGCUCACCUGAUUUGUGGUUCUUAUGGAGGUGCUUUGCUCGUGUAUAUAGUUGUUAACUUGGAUUCCUUGCAAG
rnacentral:lncRNA from 1 species